rnacentral:rRNA from 1 species
UACAGAGGAUGCAAGCGUUAUCCGGAAUGAUUGGGCGUAAAGCGUCUGUAGGUGGCUUUUUAAGUCCGCCGUCAAAUCCCAGGGCUCAACUCUGGACAGGCGGUGGAAACUACCAAGCUGGAGUACGGUAGGGGCAUGUGGAACUUCCGGUGGAGCGGUGAAAUGCGUAGAUAUCGGAAGGAACGCCGGUGGCGAAAGCGACGUGCUGGACCUCUUCUGACGCUGAGGCGCGAAAGCCAGGGGAGCGAACGGG